GACGAAGCACACAAACGUUAUUCGGAAUUACUGGGCUUAAAGGGUGCGUAGGCGGCGCGGAAAGUAGGGUGUGAAAUCCCUCGGCUCAACCGAGGAAUUGCGCCCUAAACUACCGUGCUCGAGGGAGAUAGAGGUGAGCGGAACUUAGGGUGGGGCGGUGAAAUGCGUUGAUAUCCUAAGGAACACCGGUGGCGAAAGCGGCUCACUGGAUCUCUUCUGACGCUGAGGCACGAAAGCCAGGGGAGCGAACGGG
rnacentral:rRNA from 1 species